GGAUGAAUGGCUAGAGCAAAUGGUUUAAUCUACAAAUCAAAUAGUUCUCAUGCAUUAGUUUUGUCUGACCCAAGAGGAACUAGUCGUCCAGGCUCUCUUUUGUAAAUAUAUUGGGACUUGAGGUUUCUAAGAAAUGUAAAGUAUUCUUUCAGUUGCUUACCCUUGGAGAUCUUAAUACCAACAAUAAAUUCAAAUGCAAAAUCGAUCCUGCUAUCUCAAUCCAAACUAGUCUUCACUCUCUGCGCUCCUUUGUGGUGGCCCUCUAGUGCCAGCUGCUGAAUA
rnacentral:misc_RNA from 1 species